UCUUUAAAUCUAUAGCCAAUAAGCAUUUUUUCAAGGUGAUAUUUGGAUUCCGGACAUGAAAAUAUAUAAGAAUUAACUAAUCUUAUUUAAGAAGCAUGUAACUUUUCAAAAAUUGUUGACCAGUGUAACCUGCAGCGCGGAAACAGGGGACUGACUUUGUCAUCAUUAUUAAGGUAAUUCCACUUUAUAUUUAAGCUAAAUGAUUUGUGAUCACUUACUCCUAGUUCUUCAUUAACCUCAAGUUUAUCUAUCGGAGAAUCCUUGUUGCCAGAACCAAGUCCAGCGAGAUAUUUCCUAUAGUUGGUUCUGACACAAGCUGUUUUAAAAAGAAGUCCUAACCAUUUCAAGAAAGUUGCUAGAUUAUAGACUACCUUUUCAAAUUGCUCCAAUUCAUCUGGCCAAAAUUAAAAUCUCCCAUUUAAACUACAUAUACGUUUCUAGAUGCCUGAGCAGUUUCAACCCAAAGUAAUUUAGCGUGGUCACUAUCGAGAUGUGGGGGUCUGUAGAUCACACCUAAGAUUAGCUUCUCAUGCUCUUCCAUAAACUGCAGCAAAACAGAUUCCAGUCCAGACUUCGCGUCAUCUACGGCGUCGCUGUGCCCAGACAACCACCAAACUCCCCGAUGCCGCCUCGGUCAUCUAAGACGUAGCUGUGCCCGGACAACCACAACCACGUCGCCUCGGUCAUCUAAGGCGUCGCUGUGCCCAGACAACAACCAGCUCCGACGCCGAAGAAACCUUCAUGGCGCCGACAGUCGUAAACUAUAUUGAUAACGUGAUAGUGGGGUCCCGUGCCAAAAAACAUCUCCAGAGUGUGGGUUCUGCUGGCAUGAAGGUAGCAGCAGGUGAUGUUGUAUGCUGGCAACGCAGUUGACGAAGGUGACGCAGGUGUUCGACGAGACCUGCAGGUAAUGCUGUAUACUAGCGGCAGAGGCGACCCAGGUGUUGGAGAAAGAGACAAGGCGAUGGCAGUAGGUGACGCAGUAUGCUGGUGGCAGAGGCAACCCAGGUGUUAGAGAGGAAACAAGGCAAUGGCAGUAGGUGACGCAGUAUGCUGACGGAAAAGUUAAGGUGACACAUGAGACAACAUCAGGUGUAAAGAUAAGGUGUGGAAGAGACAGAACUUAAUAGUGCGAGGAAAGAUAUAGUAAAGAAGAGACUGAAGAAUGACCUUAACGUGAUACAGAUAUAAACAAUAAACUCAGGUAAACAAAGACGAUAUAUAUAAUAAACAUAUAGCUAAGUUAAACAAAAACAUACAAUAAACGCGUGGUUUAGGAUGAACGAAAACAAAUAAUAAAAGGGUGGUAAAAGUAAACAAAGACGUAAAUAAUAUAAAAUCAAUAAAACAAACAUGACCAAAAUAAUAAACAAGUAAGCAAAGUCUUAAAUAGGUGACUCAAAUAAACACAUAAACAAUAAACGGGCGUGCUGGGUAAAUAAAGACGUAAAUAAAAGAAAACAGGUGACUAUAAUACAAAUGUUAACAAUGAACAAAUAAUUCUGACAAACCUUGCAUUUUGCCUUUUGCAUUAAUCUGCAUUUCAUAUUUUAUCCCUCCAGACUAGCACUGUCGUCCAGCGACCUGACAAGUGCUGGGUCUUGGCAUGCUCUCUCUCACAUACCUUAAGUCUAUCUCUGAAACUGCAUACAACCUGCUGGUACCUGGUACUCUGUAAUGGCUAUAAUAUCCGGAGGUUUCUUUUACUCUUUCACUCGCAGCAAUACUUUUGGUAGUGGAUUCAUUUAACAUUCUAGUGUCAAACUCUGAUUUUGUUAUCUAUAGCUUCUUUCGUGAUAUUCUAUUUUCUUG